GAUGAAGAACGCAGCGAAAUGCGAUAAGUAAUGUGAAUUGCAGAAUUCAGUGAAUCAUCGAAUCUUUGAACGCACAUUGCGCCCGUCAGUAUUCUGGCGGGCAUGCCUGUUCGAGCGUCAUUACGCCCCUCAAGUCCCCUGUGGACUUGGUGUUGGGGAUCGGCGAGGCUGGUUUUUCAGCACAGCCGUCCCUUAAAUUAAUUGGCGGUCUCGCCGUGGCCCUCCUCUGCGCAGUAGUAAAACACUCGCAACAGGAGCCCGGCGCGGUCCACUGCCGUAAAACCCCCCAACUUUUUAUAGUUGACCUCGAAUCAGGUAGGACUACCCGCUGAACUUAAGCAUAUCAAUAAGCGGAGGA
rnacentral:misc_RNA from 1 species